GCAGAGUCGCACAGUGGAAGCAUGCUGGACCCAUAACCCAGAAGUCCGUGGAUAGAACCCACGUCAGCA
rnacentral:tRNA from 1 species